rnacentral:rRNA from 1 species
GAUGAACGCUGGCGGCGUGCCUAACACAUGCAAGUCGAACGGUGUCGUUUUGGAAAUCUCUUCGGAGAUGGAAUUCUCGACUUAGUGGCGGACGGGUGAGUAACGCGUGAGCAAUCUGCCUUUAAGAGGGGGAUAACAGUCGGAAACGGCUGCUAAUACCGCAUAAAGCAUUAAAUUCGCAUGUUUUUGAUGCCAAAGGAGCAAUCCGCUUUUAGAUGAGCUCGCGUCUGAUUAGCUAGUUGGCGGGGUAACGGCCCACCAAGGCGACGAUCAGUAGCCGGACUGAGAGGUUGAACGGCCACAUUGGGACUGAGACACGGCCCAGACUCCUACGGGAGGCAGCAGUGGGGAAUAUUGCGCAAUGGGGGAAACCCUGACGCAGCAACGCCGCGUGAUUGAAGAAGGCCUUCGGGUUGUAAAGAUCUUUAAUCAGGGACGAAACAAAUGACGGUACCUGAAGAAUAAGCUCCGGCUAACUACGUG